UAUACAGUGGUGAAUUGAAAGAAAAUGAUUGGAAAUAUUUGUAGAGAAUGGAUAUGAAUGGAAGGAUUAUAAUACAUUGAGUAUUGGAAAUUAAGAGUGAUUCAUCAUAAGGAGUCUGUAGAGUCUAGAAUUUUGUGAAGAAGUAUGUUGAGAAGGAUCAUUAAUGGUGAAGGAUUCAAGUGUUUGGAUUAUGGAAUAAUUAUGUAUUAUCUUUUAAGAUUGUGCAAGGUUACACGUUAUUGUUAUUAGUGAUGGCAGAGUACUAUUAGGAAGUAGAAAACAUUGUGGUGUUCUUUGGUAUUUUUAGUGGUUCGAAAUAUAGUUAAUUGUAUGACCUUAAGAAGUAGAACUCAUGCGCGUAGUCUUUCCUUGCAUUUGAAUUUCCUUCUACAUGUUUAUUUUGAUGGAAAUUUAUAGAAUAAGUAAAAUGAUAAUUACAUUUUGGGACCGCUAUCGGGGAUUGACAAUAGCAUUGAGUAUUAGGAAUUAACUGCCAGAUGAGUAGAUGGGAAAUAGAAAGCAGACUCA
rnacentral:lncRNA from 1 species